CAUUAAUAGAAACAAGUGUCUGUGCAUAAUAAGAACAGUAAUUAACACUGUAACACAACACUCCAGUGACUACGAUCCACACAGGGGGAGAAAUAAACAUCAAAAUCACUAAAUACAUUUUCCCUCUAACUUUCUAUUUUGAUGGACAGGGUCGGUCCUGGCUGUGACUCCAGGGUCGUGACCUUUGGCUGGGCUGUAGUUUUAUAAGAGGAGUGAUCCUGCUCCUUGAUUGGCUGGAAGGUGCUCAGCAACUGACAGUCCACCCGCCUGCGAUAUCACACACCUGCCAGUUCCUGUCUCUCACAAGUUGGCUCUGGGGGUGGAUCAACAAGUUUAAAUUGUGAGUCUCCCUCAUGUGUUACACAGUUAGGAGACUGAUACAGGCUCUUGAAUUUCAAAAGCAAUACUUAAUACAGUUAAUUUGUCAAUCUGAUCGCUUUCAUCCGUCGAGAAGAGGGGUCUGAGAGAGCAGUAAGACCAUCAGUAUAUAGUUUUUAUUCCGCAGGCAUCUUCUCGUAUGAAUUAAUUUACAAAAACAACUAAGGAAAAGUUCAUAUUAACGGGAUUAGGUUCAUUAUAACUGGCUGAAGCCAAUCAUUGAAUACCUGGCCAGCAUCGUGUCUGCUCUGUCUUUGCUGUGAUAUAUCGGGCUAACACGAGUCCUGGAGUAUCACAGUGUUGGGUUGUGAGUCAGCGCGCCAGCCAGCCAGUAUAAGAGCACUUUGCAUGUGGAGCAGGGAUGAGACUGUGCAGCUCUGGGACUGUCGACUAGUCUGCCACUCAGAGGCGAGGCUGCAGAGAGACCGAGUCCACGCUGGAAACAGUCUGAACCAGCUGCUGCAGGCCACUCUGAAGAGCAUGUUGCUGAGAGAACCACAUCUCCACAGAGGACUUAAGAAGUCAAGUCUGAUUCCAACUUGACUGCCCCUGGUUAUGAAAAUCUGCACUCAGAGACUACAACGGUACGUCCUCAUAGGAGUUUAAGCUGACUAAAGAAAAAAACAAUUCUGAUUUUUGCAUUGUCAAAAGCUUCACGUCCUCAUGUUUGUGUCU
rnacentral:lncRNA from 1 species